GGGUUGUGAGGUUAAGCGACUAAGCGUACACGGUGGAUGCCCUGGCAGUCAGAGGCGAUGAAGGACGUGCUAAUCUGCGAUAAGCGCCGGUAAGGUGAUAUGAACCGUUAUAACCGGCGAUUUCCGAAUGGGGAAACCCAGUGUGAUUCGUCACACUAUCAUUAACUGAAUCCAUAGGUUAAUGAGGCGAACCGGGGGAACUGAAACAUCUAAGUACCCCGAGGAAAAGAAAUCAACCGAGAUUCCCCCAGUAGCGGCGAGCGAACGGGGAGGAGCCCAGAGCCUGAAUCAGCAUGUGUGUUAGUGGAAGCGUCUGGAAAGGCGCGCGAUACAGGGUGACAGCCCCGUACACAAAAGCGCAUGUGCUGUGAGCUCGAUGAGUAGGGCGGGACACGUGGUAUCCUGUCUGAAUAUGGGGGGACCAUCCUCCAAGGCUAAAUACUCCUGACUGACCGAUAGUGAACCAGUACCGUGAGGGAAAGGCGAAAAGAACCCCGGCGAGGGGAGUGAAAAAGAACCUGAAACCGUGUACGUACAAGCAGUGGGAGCACAGGUUUACCUGUGUGACUGCGUACCUUUUGUAUAAUGGGUCAGCGACUUAUAUUCUGUAGCAAGGUUAACCGUAUAGGGGAGCCGGAGGGAAACCGAGUCUUAAUUGGGCGUUAAGUUGCAGGGUAUAGACCCGAAACCCGGUGAUCUAGCCAUGGGCAGGUUGAAGGUUGGGUAACACUAACUGGAGGACCGAACCGACUAAUGUUGAAAAAUUAGCGGAUGACCUGUGGCUGGGGGUGAAAGGCCAAUCAAACCGGGAGAUAGCUGGUUCUCCCCGAAAGCUAUUUAGGUAGCGCCUCGUGAAUUCAUCUCCGGGGGUAGAGCACUGUUUCGGCUAGGGGGCCAUCCCGGCUUACCAACCCGAUGCAAACUGCGAAUACCGGAGAAUGUUAUCACGGGAGACACACGGCGGGUGCUAACGUCCGUCGUGAAGAGGGAAACAACCCAGACCGCCAGCUAAGGUCCCAAAGUCAUGGUUAAGUGGGAAACGAUGUGGGAAGGCCCAGACAGCCAGGAUGUUGGCUUAGAAGCAGCCAUCAUUUAAAGAAAGCGUAAUAGCUCACUGGUCGAGUCGGCCUGCGCGGAAGAUGUAACGGGGCUAAACCAUGCACCGAAGCUGCGGCAGCGAACGUAUCACCCAAGACAACUUUACGGAGUUGACGAUUGACGGAGCGAAGCGACGUCAAAGCGUUCAUUAAAGUCGAGUUGGCUUAGGGAUACGUUCGUUGGGUAGGGGAGCGUUCUGUAAGCCUGUGAAGGUGUGUCGUGAGGCAUGCUGGAGGUAUCAGAAGUGCGAAUGCUGACAUAAGUAACGAUAAAGCGGGUGAAAAGCCCGCUCGCCGGAAGACCAAGGGUUCCUGUCCAACGUUAAUCGGGGCAGGGUGAGUCGACCCCUAAGGCGAGGCCGAAAGGCGUAGUCGAUGGGAAACGGGUUAAUAUUCCCGUACUUGGUGUUACUGCGAAGGGGGGACGGAGAAGGCUAUGUUGGCCGGGCGACGGUUGUCCCGGUUUAAGCGUGUAGGUGUGUGUUCCAGGUAAAUCCGGUUCACUUUAACACUGAGGCGUGACGACGAGGCACUACGGUGCUGAAGCAACAAAUGCCCUGCUUCCAGGAAAAGCCUCUAAGCAUCAGGUAACACGAAAUCGUACCCCAAACCGACACAGGUGGUCAGGUAGAGAAUACCAAGGCGCUUGAGAGAACUCGGGUGAAGGAACUAGGCAAAAUGGUGCCGUAACUUCGGGAGAAGGCACGCUGACACGUAGGUGAAGUGAUUUACUCAUGGAGCUGAAGUCAGUCGAAGAUACCAGCUGGCUGCAACUGUUUAUUAAAAACACAGCACUGUGCAAACACGAAAGUGGACGUAUACGGUGUGACGCCUGCCCGGUGCCGGAAGGUUAAUUGAUGGGGUCAGCG
rnacentral:rRNA from 1 species